GAUGAACGCUGGCGGCGUGCUUAAUACAUGCAAGUCGAACGGACAGGCCCUGCUUUUGUGGGGUUCUCGAGUGGCGAACGGGUGAGUAACACGUGAGUAACCUCCCCCUGACUUUGGGAUAACUUCUGGAGACUCGGGCGAAUACCGGAUAGGAUCUCCUGCUGCGUGGGGUGGGAUGGAAAGUUUCGGCGGUUGUGGAUGGACUCGCGGCUUAUCAGCUUGUUGGUGGGGUAGUGGCUUACCAAGGCUUUGACGGGUAGCCGGCCUGAGCGGGUUACCGGGCACAUUAGGACUGCGAUACGGCCCAGAAUCCUACGGGAGGCAACAGUGGGGAAUAUUGCGCAAUGGGCGGAAGCCUGAUGCAGCAACGCCCCGUGCGGGAUGAUGGCCUUCGGGUUGUAAACCGCUUUCGACUGUGACGAAGCGUUAGUGACGGUAAUGGGUAAAGAAGCACCGGCUAACUACGUG
rnacentral:rRNA from 1 species